rnacentral:lncRNA from 1 species
CCCAUAAUUUAUAUAUUGCUUGCCAAAGAGCACAGCUAUUAAAUGGCACUCGGGUUUGCUUAGUGCUACAUUUUCUCUUCUUUUCCCUUCAUGACAAGGGAAUUCUGCCAAAUUGUGGAGGGAAAAAAAAAUCACCUGCUAUUAUUUCUGUCAUCUUAAUGCUGCAAAAUAAUCUUCACAUUUAGUGGCAUGAAACAACCACCGUGUUCUUAUCCUCACCAAGUCUGCAGAUCAGAGAUUUGGACAUGACACUGACUUUACCAGUUUGCAAAUUCUGGGGGCCUCUGAAAAGCCUUGGGUGAGUAGCAAUGAGUUCAGUGUUGGGUAAUAGAAUUACCCGGAGGCGUCUUCAUUUAUUAUUUGGUGUGUCAACUGGGGUAAUUCAAAGUAUGAGUUCAAAAUUGUUGACAAACAGAUCUGAAUACAGUUUCUCCAUGUAACUUAGACUUCUUCACAGCAUGGAAGCAUAAAAGUAGUUGAGCUAGUAGGUGGGUGAAGGAUCCAAGAAUGAGUGUUCUAGGAAGUAUGCAUAUGGCCUUUUAUGACCUAGCAUCAGAAUUCACACAGAACUACUUCAGCAAAAGGCUAUGGGUUGAAGCAAUCACAAGCUAGUCUGACUUUAGGGGAAAAAACACAGUAUUUACAGCCAUUAACCAUGUAUCUUCUUCUUCAAGGGAAGACCAGUUGUCAGCAGUGGACGGAUUUGAACACAGUUUGUUAAUGUUACAUAUGCAUUUUUUUCUCGUCUUCCUUGUCAUUAUACUCUUUUUGUGAGAAAGGAUCAAAGUGUAAGCGUUGUCUGCUCUCAAAGUUGAUGUAGCCAUCUAUGUGAUUACUUUGGACUUCAGAAGAAAAAAUGGAAGAAGAAAAAGUUCAGGGAAAUGGACAAUAGAGCAAUCUUAAAGGAGAUAUUAAAACACCAGAAAGUGGAAGAAGCACUAAAUAGUCUUUCAAGAAAUAGAAGCAAUUCCCAGAAAGGGUGUAGCCUCCAUCUGGCAACAGGAUUCUCAAAGAAUAAGGAGAGAAUAUCGGGACAUGGACAUUCAUCCUCCUACCAAGUCCUCUGGAUUGGUUCUGUUCUCAGAUAGUCUUUCUUAAAAAUGUGGAAAGUAUGCGGUGUUUUAAUCUGUUUGGACUCAUAAAGAAUUGCCACAGAAUGAAUGAAUUCAACAGUAGAAAUUUAUUUGCUUACAGUUCUGAAGCCUAGAAGUCCAAGAUCAGGGUAUUAGCAGAUUUGGUUUCUUCUGAUACAUGUCCCCUUGUCUUGCAGGUGGUCACCUUCUUGCCAUAUCCUUACAUGGUUUUCUGUAGGUCCAUAAGCUAAUUUUCUCUUCUUAUAAGAACACCAUUCAUAUUGGGUUAGGGUUCACCCAUAUGAUCUCAUUUUACCUUGAUAACUGUUUUAAAGG